GUAUUUAGACAAGUAUUUCCAUUCGUAUUGAAAAAAACUAAGCCAAAUUUCCCCGAAAAACUACUUUAGACCGAACAGUUUGGGAAAAAGCUGAAGUUGCAGUGUAUUUCGCCAUCCCUAGAUUAGCGAUUUGUGAUUCCCUAGCCAUCAGCGCGUCGGCACUCCAUCUCUAUCCCUAUCUCAAUUUCUAUCUCCAAGUGCGGCGCUCGAUUUCGCCGCUCUCUGUCCCGCUUUUGCCAUUAAUUGUGCAAACAUUCUAGAACAAUUUAAGCCAGUAAAGUGCUGUAAUAAAAGGCCGGCACCGCCCCAAAAGCCGAUUUGAUAAACCGCCUGACCCCGCCACGCUCGCCAGCGAAUGGAAUCAAGAGAUGAGUUGCCGCGCGGAGUGGCGUCUUCAAUUAAAUAGUAAUACACAAUAAUCAACAGACCCGAAAACAAGAAAAGCAAACAAACGCCUCUGGUUCGACCAAGGGAUACCCUAUGAUUUUAGAUUGUACCUAAUUCCGAAAUUUGAUAAU
ensembl:ncRNA lncRNA:CR45614 long non-coding RNA:CR45614